GUGAGCCACUGCCGUGCCCGC
rnacentral:miRNA from 1 species